rnacentral:pre_miRNA from 1 species
AUCACCUGGGGAGCUUGUUAAAAUGCAGGUUCUGUUUCUGGGCCCCAGGUGGGGCUCUAGACUCUGCAUCUCUAGCAAGUUCUCAAGUGAUGCUGA